UGCACAACCACAUCAUCCCACCGUCCCAAAGAAGAAGAAAAAUUCUUAGGAUCAUUAAACUACUUCGAAAAAACAUCAGAUUUAACCAACAUUUUGUAGCUUCUCGAAUUACCUUCUUCUUAAUUACAUCCUUAAUUUUAUAUUAUAAAUCAUUUUGAUUUAUUUAAAGUUUAACUAAAUGUAUAGAAAUACAUUGCAACAUCUGUUAUACCAAAUUAAUUUAUUAAACCUAGUGUUGAAUAUAUUUUGCUAAUAUAUAUUUUUUUAUUUUGAAAUAUUUGACCAAACAUAUAGAAAUCGACUUGUAGAAAAAAAAAAUCAAAGCUAAUUAUAAUAAAAAAUGGAGCAGUUCGAUGCAUACAUAAUGACUGAUUUUGUUGUAGGCUACUAACAUUCUGUUUGAAUUAAAAUUUCGUUCGAUAUUCUUUAAUUCGAACUGGAGACGGCACCCAACAUCAUACACAGACAAUUAAUUACAAAUGUGCAUCCUUACCACAAUUCCAACAGAAAAAAUUGAAGGGAGCAUAACAAAGUUGGGUAAUCUGAAAACCUAACAAAUUAAGUUCUUCUUGCUUGAGAAACACUCAGGGGUCUCCACAGGGUGGUGGGCUAGACGACCUGGAUUCGAAGCCUCACCCCUUAUAAUUAUUUGAUAUUAGAUGUUUCUCUAAUAUUCGUGUCUUUUUUUAGUUCUUCUCGCUAAACACAACUACAUGUACAUAUUAAACCGGAUUAAUACCUAUAUAAAAUCAGAUCGUGAAACACACAACUACAUGUAUCAGUCACCAUAACUCUCUCUCUCUCUAUCUCUCUCUCUAUUUAAACAUAUAAAGUGCUUAAACAAUACUAGUACUACAUGGAACUAUACCGUAAUACUACAAAUUCAGCACAUAAAACUCCCAUCGUUUUCUUCAUAAGCUAGCUUACAAGUCAUUGUCAAAAUUUAAAUUUUAAAAACUUAAUUUUUGAAGUUGAUUCCGAAGUUAUUUUGUUAUAAUUUAUUUUUCAGCAUUUGACUUUAAAUCACUAACAAUGUAUAUAUAAAAAAAGUUUUUACCUACAAAUAUAUUUUUUUCUGAUAAGCUGUACGAUUUAUAAUCGGCAGUAAGCCAAUUGAUAGCGGAAGAACAUUCUCAUGCAUGGUCUAAUUCACCAAUAUUCACCUAAUAUCUCUCGGAGGCCUAACCUGAACAAUAAAAGUGGGUAGCAGUAGGUAAUCCUACAAUCAGAAGUCAAACCUGUGGGUUCCUACCAAUUAAAAUGUGGCGGCCAAUUUACCGUAAUAGUUGUACAGUGCAGCUACAUCAGAAAGGUGAGAGGAGACCCUCUUGUAGUUGUUGUAGCACAGGCAGAAAGCUGCCCAUUCAACCAUAGCUACCACAAGGACAGGGAACUGGCCUCUGAUCAUUGCCCUGGGUAUCGUGCUAAUCACAGACAUGUUUGGGACGCUUUUCACUGUGGCUAGCCGUACCAUGCAUAUUCACUUCUAUUGUAGUUGGAUGCUCAUCAGUCAUCAGUUACCACCAGUGGUUAGCAGAAUUGGUCUCACAUAGCGGCGAAACCAGAAAUUAAAAUUAAGGACUGAGUAGGGCUUAACUAAUAUAAUAUUAAUUUUCUUAAAAAUUACAUGAUAAAUUAAGAGAAUUUAAGUAUGAUUAUGAAGGCAAGCCUAGGUCUCAAGCCCAAACUAGCUACCCUAGGCUUGCCACCGCUUCAGUCUCAAAGGCAACAUACCACUAAACGUAAUUCUAAAGGGUUGAAUGGACAAAUGGAUAAUGUGUUAUUCAAUUUUUUAUAAUACUUUAUACAAAUGAAUGUAUUAAUAUCCAGCUUUAAAAGUUGUUCCAGAAAAAUAUUGUAAGCAAUUCAUAUAAUAGGGUUUUGUAAAAAAAAUAACAUUUAGAGGUUUAGAAAAUAUGCCCACGAUAUACGUAGAAGGAAAAAUUACGAAACUUUAUUGAUAAGUUCUAAACACUUGGUUUCAAAACAUAGUAGUAUUAAGUAUGUAUAUAAUUGUUUUUAAAAAGUUUUCUUUAGAAUUGUAUAAACCUAUUGCAGUUUAUAAACUUAAACCUAUUUUUAGUAAACAAUUAAUAUAGGUUUACUUAAAUGCCGUGGUAAUGGCUGAGAAUUAGCUCGCCACGUCAUCAAAUUUUUCGGAAACACCCCUCACCUCUGGCUAAUCACGUUCUGGAGAACUAGGUGCGCCACUCCAUUGUUUUUUUUUGCUAAGAAAACCCCCCACUUCCUGUUAAUCGUGCGUCGGCUCCCGCCGCUAUCGUCCGUUCGAUCACGUGCGAGGGACGAUCUGGCCGUCCACGUGUCCCAGCGUGGCUGCUCUUCCACCAUCAUGAGAUCGUUGGAUCAGGAACGGAUGGCCUGGAUUUGCCAAGAACCCUAGCCACCAAACAAAACCCUAGCUCCAGCCCAUUCCGCCGCCCUGUAGCUCUCUUCGCCGCCCUCUCUGCUGCCUCUGCCCGGCGAGGGGCGGCGCGAUGAAGCGCACGAUGGACGCGCGGUGGGCGCACAUCGUGUACGCGCUGCUGGUGCCGGAGGCAUUCUUCCGCGACCCCAACGGCCGCGACGGCGUCGCCUCUCGCUCUCUCCGCCGCCCUCUCGCUCUCUCCGUGGCCACGCUGCUGCCUCUGCCCGGCGAGGGGCGGCACUGUGAAGCGCACGACGAACGCGCGGUGGGCGCACAUCGUGUGCGCGCUGCUGGUGUCGGAGGUGUUCUUCCGCGACCCCGACGACCGUGACGGCGUCAACUGCUUGAGCUAUCUCGCUCUCUUCGCUGCCCUCUCGCUCUCUCCGCCAGCGUCGCCGCCACGUCAUCUUCACCGUUGUCACCACCUCCCUCUAUUCUGCCGGCUCUCCCUAUUUCACCUCCGUUGCCGUCUCCUUUGGUGUCACCGUCGCCGCCGCCGCCGCUUGCCUCAUGUGGGUAGGUGUCGUCGCCUCACGAUCCUUCACCAGUCGUCGCCACGACGAGAUCGUUCUUCCCUCCUAUUCAGCCGCCACAUCUCCCAGCGAGGAGCCCGGGACCACCAGGUCUAGCGACCCCGUCCUCCUCACAGGCGGAUCCAGAAACCCGAAUGAGGAUGACAGCCGUUACCACCCUUUUCUCCUCUUUCAUCUUCGCAUGUUAGAGGAUCCCUCUCCAUCUUCCUCAGCUCGCCGGCAUGGGAGUCACACAUGAUAAGAGGUUUCACGGGAGUCGGCAGCGACCACUGCUUCUGUGAGAGGACCGAAGAAAAAUAGCCGUUGUUGAGAAGAUUUAACACGGGGUCUUAUUCCAAGAGAUCGUUGCCAAUGAGCGUGCUAUUAAACUGGAGUACUCAAAGUAAGUUUAAUAAGCCUCCAGUUUUAUUUUUUCCUAUCUAUGCGUAUGAUGUAGCAAUGUUUCAUUUGGCCUAAAUAAAGAUAAGGUAGACAGUGAUCCAGUUGGACAUGGAUAAUAGAAAAUCAAGCUUAAUUAGUUACAAUCACAUAAGCUUAGCCAAAAAGUUGUGGUUAUUUGAUUGAAUCAAUUAAUUGACCAAACUAAGGCUUAUAAGGAGCACAUCAACCACAGAUACUAUAGCUUAAUUUUAGUAUAGCAGGACCCACAACUCACCUGUACCAUACCAUUUAGAUAUGUCGGUUAUCCUAAAUAUAAAAUGUAUCCUAAAUAUAAAAUGAGGUCUUAAUUCCUUUAUUAUGUGCAACAGCUAUUUGAUUCAACAAUGCUUCCAUUUGAUCACAACCAAUUGAAGUAGCUUAUGUGGAUAUUUCCUAAGGCACAGAAUCCUAAUGUUAGUGUUUGAAGAGGAAAAAACCAAUUUAACUCUUUACCAACCGAAAUUAGUAAAGGCAACUAGUAUGGUCACUCUACAAAAAGUCAAUUCUUUUUAUUGCAUUUCACAAUUCAACUACACCUAAAAUAGCUGAGCCAACCAUUUACAUAAUUACCCAUCCAUAUUAUCGAUUAAUGUUAGAUUUAGUUGAUUUCAACUUACAAAGGAUGAAUUUAUCAUUUGGUAAUAAUUAGUUCUUGGGCGAAGUUCCCAAACAACCGGUGUAAUCGGGUUCUAUUCUUUCCUGUUCACGUUCUCAUAAGGUGGUUACACCAUUAUGCCAUGUUAUGCCUCCAUGCUAUGCAUCUUCCUGGUACGUGGAUCAACUAAAACAACUAUUGGUGCAGUUCCUACAUUUGAUUUAAUCUUUGUAUAAAUAGCUUGAUGAGCAUAUCCAAUGGGUUUUUUGUUGGAUGUUAACUCGCACAAAAGAAGAAUUAUAUUUAUUCACUGACGGACUGGUUGCUCUGUUGAGUUCCCUCUCUUUUGUUGACUAUAUUGCUAUCUGGUGCCUUUUUUAGUAGGUCUAUAUUUUCUUUGCUUACACAGUAAACCCUGCACCGCACUUAUCUAUCCCUUCUUCCUAUUGACAAUAUCCUUGAUCUAAUUGGGGUUGUCGAUGAUAUAUUUGUGUACUGAAUGGUAUGGCAGAUCAUGAUUUGAUAAAUGAUGCUGGCACAAUGAAAAGGAUAAUAGAGCUAAACCUUUUGGUUCUUACGGUGCCCUGGUCAUGGCUAAAUAAGGGAGUUGGACACACAUGUUCAUUCUGCCUAUUCUAACACCAAUGUAAUUGGAAAUCGACUUUGAUUUAAUACAUCUAUGUGCAUAAAUAUAUUAUAUACAUGAUUUUUUAUUCUGCUUAAGCUAUUAUUGAACGUCAAAGUAAACAUGCCUAUAGCUAUUAACAAUGUUGUUCCUACAGAUUCAAAUUCAUCGUCUGCCAGGCACAGUGUAGUGCGCCUUUAUUUCUAGUUAUGUUCAAAGCUGAACGCAGCUGACCAUAAGAAGUACCAAUCUUCAUAUAUUUUUUCGACUGGAGGGAGUAAAAACUUCUCCUAUCUUAGUUUCAAGACUUUCAAGUUGUUGGUCUAGAUCAAUGCCCGAUGUUUUCUUCAUAGUCUUCAAAACAAAAUAGUCUUUCUUCACUGAAUGGUACUUCCUCCGUUUCAUAUUAUAAGUCGUUCUAGCAUUUCACACAUUCAUAUUGAAGUUAAUAAAUUUAGACAUAUAUAUCUAUCUAGAUUCAUUAACAUUAAUAUGAAUAUGAGAAAUGCUAGAAUAACUUACAUUUAUGAAACAGAGGAAGUAUAUUAAGCUCCUGUUCAUGAAUUUAAAUGGUAUAUAUCCUAUAGGACAAUGGUAUAUAUCCUAUAGGACAAUGGACACCCUGAUUGGGGAGUACAAUAAUGGUACUAUAGCCGGUAAUUAAGGUAAUGUGAUGUGAUGUGUUAUGCAGUGAUGGAUCCUCUGCUGCUACAGUGAGUGUGUACAGUAUUAUGAGUUAGCUAACUCAUGAUAGGACAAAUCGUUCAAAUCAAUCGCUACAGUAACAAUACAAUAAUGCCCAUUUCAUUUCACUUAGAAAUGAAAACCUACCUAAAUUUUGGCACUACUAAUAUUUUAACCAUGAAUAUGCAUAUAUAGCAAAUUUUGGUAACAAACGAAACGUUGCAAAAUCACUGUUUAAAAUGCCAUCAAUUCGAUUGUGUAAAAUUUGGCUCUAAAGCAAAACAACCCUAGGUACGACUAUAAUGAGAAUGCAUGAGGAUUCACCAAAAUAUAUUUUGUACUGCAAUUUCCAUUCCUUGAGCCUAAAACCUCCAAAAGUGUUGCAAUCGCCGUAGAGCAGCCAGGCAACAACACCAAGCCAGUAGUCUAGUACUAGUAAAAUGCAAAAGAAUUGGAAGCAAAAGAAAUGCACUACUCGUAGUACUUUUCUUCUCUCUUGGGUGUGACGAAUAACUUGCCGUAGUGCCUUUUUCUCUGCAACUUUCUGCACCCAAAGAGCAACUUUUUUUAGGUUCUAGAGCUGCACUGCGCGAGUGUUGCCUGCAGUGACCACAGCAGAGCAGCGUAGCUGCGUAGCGUUUCAGGCUUAAAAAGGGCCUUUUGGCUUCCCCUGUCUAAAGGUCAGCCAGACAGAGGUCGCAAGGCACCUUUUCCCCCUCGGUUGGUUGAGCCUUUUGUGUUGAGCCCCAUUUUUUUCUCUCUUUUGUCUCUGUCGGUUAUGUGCCAAGCUGAUGAGCAUUUGGCAUGAGCUGCUAUAGUUGAUUA